ACGUAGGGGGCAAGCGUUAUCCGGAAUUAUUGGGCGUAAAGAGUGCGUAGGCGGUUUUUUAAGCGUGAGGUGAAAGGCAAUAGCUUAACUAUUGUAAGCCUUUCGAACUGGAAGACUUGAGUGCAGGAGAGGAAAGUGGAAUUCCUAGUGUAGCGGUGAAAUGCGUAGAUAUGAGGAGGAACACCGAUGGCGAAGGCAACUUUCUGGACUUUAACUGACACUGAUGCACGAAAGCGUGGGGAGCAAACAG
rnacentral:rRNA from 1 species